GAUGAACGCUGGCGGCGUGCCUAAUACAUGCAAGUCGAGCGAAUGGAUUAAGAGCUUGCUCUUAUGAAGUUAGCGGCGGACGGGUGAGUAACACGUGGGUAACCUGCCCAUAAGACUGGGAUAACUCCGGGAAACCGGGGCUAAUACCGGAUAACAUUUUGAACCGCAUGGUUCGAAAUUGAAAGGCGGCUUCGGCUGUCACUUAUGGAUGGACCCGCGUCGCAUAGCUAGUUGGUGAGGUAACGGCUAACAAAGACAACAAUGCGUAGCCGACCUGAGGGGGUGAUCGGCCACACUGGGACUGAGACACGGCCCAGACUCCCACGGGAAGCAGCAGUAGGGAAUCUUCCGCAAUGGACGAAAGUCUGACGGAGCAACGCCGCGUGAGUGAUGAAGGCUUUCGGGUCGUAAAACUCUGUUGUUAGGGAAGAACAAGUGCUAGUUGAAUAAGCUGGCACCUUGACGGUACCUAACCAGAAAGCCACGGCUAACUACGUGCCAGCCGCCGCGGUAA
rnacentral:rRNA from 1 species